UUUCCACACUUCGGUGUGGUUUUUUUCACAUUCAUUUUUACAAACUCCGAUAGUCCAGUUGGCUUGCCACUGACUAUUGGACUGGUUUCCGAGGGCCCAGCACUCCUCCCUUGUGAAGCCUAACUUCU
rnacentral:snRNA from 1 species